UCAUUAGAUGACUGAAAGUAAGUAAUGGUCUCUUAAACCAAUUUAUAGUAAAUUAACAUCUACUUCUAAUG
rnacentral:tRNA from 1 species